CCUCAGGUUCUUCAGUCAGCCAAGGAACAAAUUAAGUGGUCGUUAUUGAAAUGAAGACCUUGGAGUCAAGGCUCCUUUCCCAGAGAACCUUUGCCGGUCCCUGCGUAAGCCCCAAAAUGUCAAGAGGCAAGAGAGACCACCCUGCCUUCUCCGGCCUCUCUCCCUGAGGCCUCGUGCCAGGGAUUCUGAGACCCAAAAGCUUGGCCCCAGUUCUGUCAUCCUUGCUCAGCGUCCCGGCCUGCCCCUGGGGUCAUGGGAACCAGCAAAAUUGCCUCCCCUUGGACCUCUGACAUCUCAGUCCUAGGACUUAAUAAACUUCCAAUUUUUCCCCAAA
rnacentral:lncRNA from 1 species